rnacentral:rRNA from 1 species
UACGGAGGAUGCGAGCGUUAUCCGGAUUUAUUGGGUUUAAAGGGUGCGCAGGCGGCACGGCAAGCCGGCGGUCAAAUCGCGGGGCUCAACCCCGCCCAGCCGUCGGAACUGCCGGGCUAGAGUGGGCGAGAAGUGCGCGGAAUGCGUGGUGUAGCAGUGAAAUGCAUAGAUAUCACGCAGAACUCCGAUUGCGAAGGCAGCGCACCGGCGCCCUACUGACGCUCAGGCACGAAAGCGUGGGUAUCGAACAGG